AAGGAAACCAAGACUAUAUCUCUUGCAAGGAAACCAAGACAACUGUUAAUCCCAACUAGCAGGAGCCUGUUGAGUUGAUGAAAUCCUUGGAUUGUGCAACUGAUCGUCUUGGAGAUUACUUUCCUGAUACAACAGGUCUGACUGGAGGUUUAUCUCAAAGGAUUACAUAGCAACCUGGCUAAAUGUCAGCAGUUUUGAGGAUGGUGAAGAAGAUUCACAGGACCUCAUCAGAUGGCCCUUACAAAGUCAGGAGACAGUGGGAGAAAUCGUGGGGCAGCAUCACGCUUUGUUCCUUACCAUCAGGGUCAUUGAGAGGUUGUAAUAUCCCUUCCCAUGGCAUUUCUCCACUGUCCCCUGCUUCCUCUUCACCUCCUCCAGCUUUCUUGUAUGACCCUGACUCCUCUAGGCUCCAUUUCUCUGUGCUGCCAGCACAGAGCCCCACAGAGCCCUGUUGGAAGUAGUCAUGUGUCAUAUGAUGGGCUCUGGGGGACUCCAUGCUAGCAGCAUGCUGGCAGUACGGAGAAACAGAAAGAAGAUGCUUCUCUAGUUCAAUGUGAUGAGGUCAUAGCAUCAUUAGAUUGGAAACAAGGGGGUAAAUCAAGAGCUCAGGCUAUUUUAGGUGACACUGUUUAAAAGGACCAGCUUCCUGGUGCUUCUUAUACAUGGAAGAAAGGUAAUUGCUAUUCUACUGUUUUAACAAACCUAUGAAAAAGACCAAAAGCAAACAAAUAAGAAAACCAAUUAUCUCAAUUGGGGGGUUGUAUCUUAAUCUUUUGUAUCUGCUGUUGCACCCAGAAAGUGAGGAACCAAAGACAGAUACAUAUGUUUAAGACCAGUUGCAUUGGUUAUGCAGGAAAAUACAACAAACUUCAAAAUACCAGUUCCAAUUAUGUCUUUAC